CCUACGGGAGGCAGCAGUGAGGAAUAUUGGUCAAUGGUCGCAAGUCUGAACCAGCCAUGCCGCGUGCAGGAAGACGGCUCUAUGAGUUGUAAACUGCUUUUGUACGAGGGUAAACGCAGAUACGCGUAUCUGUCUGAAAGUAUCGUACGAAUAAGGAUCGGCUAACUCCGUGCCAGCAGCCGCGGUAAUACGGAGGAUUCAAGCGUUAUCCGGAUUUAUUGGGUUUAAAGGGUGCGUAGGCGGUCGGAUAAGUUAGAGGUGAAAUCCCGAGGCUCAACUUCGGAAUUGCCUCUGAUACUGUUCGGCGAGAGAGUAGUUGCGGUAGGCGGAAUGUAUGGUGUAGCGGUGAAAUGCUUAGAGAUCAUACAGAACACCGAUUGCGAAGGCAGCUUACCAAGCUACUUCUGACGUUGAGGCACGAAAGCGUGGGGAGCAAACAGGAUUAGAUACCCUAGUAGUC
rnacentral:rRNA from 1 species